GAAGCUAAAACUGGCCAGAGUGAGCAGGCAAUAGUGCUCUGAUUGUAUUUUCAAAGAUCUAUGUCUGCCUAAGAAAUCACGGUACUACAGGCAGGGGUUUUAAAUAAAAUAAUGAGUUGGAGCAUUGUGUAAGCAAUUUCAUGUUGAUUUUCUUUGUAUAAAAUGCUGAAUGAACUGCCAGAGACAAUCACCAAUAAAGCAGGCCAUUAAAUCAGUUUAAUGGGGAGCAGGAUAUCAUUUUGGAGGAGGAAGAAACCAGGAGGUCCAGCUGUGAGCUAGAAUUUUUUGCAGUUGAGAUGAGAAGUACAGAACAUGUGCCUCAUCUGUGACCACCACAAAAAUCUUACCAAGCAAAUUUCAAGAUGUUUUGAAAUUUAACACAUUUUGCAAGCCUAAGGUUGUACAAAGUUCAGCUGCAGCUCAAAUACUCAAGCAUCACAAUUAGUAAAAGUUGUUUGAAAUAAUUUUAAACAUGUACUUGAUUGAACUGGACACCAAGGGCAGUGGAGCUGCAGUGGUAUAGAACUAAUUUUGCACUGGAGACCCCAGUGCUCAGUCCUAGGCUGCAGGACAGCAGAAAAUUACUGCAACGAGGAGCAACAUAGAAAAAGUGAAGUGCAAUAAUGAUUCGGUCACCUGCAUUCAAUAAAUUGAGCUCCAGUUCCAGUGCAAAGGGUGGCUUGACAGAAGCCUGUUUCUAUCUGCUUAUUUCCUCACACUUCAAGCCGAACCUUUCAAAGGAUCUCUUGGCACCCCAAGGUGCUCUGGUACCUUGACUGAGAAUCACUGAUGCAGAAAUUUGGAAACUUUUUUUGACCAAUGGAGCUCAGUCAGCCCUCAUAACCUCUCUCAGAUAACCAUAUAUCCUUUUCAUCAAGCUUUUAAGUGAAAACACUAUAAUUCUACAUCGUGAUCACUGUGAUCUGUGGACUACUUACCAUGGUCUUAUGAACUACUAGUGGCUUCAUGACAACAUUUUGGGAAUCAGUGGUCUAGUCCCACAACAGAAUACCAGGAAUUUUGUCAGGACUUGUCAGCUUGAUUCCCAGGUCUUCCACAAACUCCCCAUAACUCUCUGAAAGUUACUUGACCCUGCCAGAAUCAGUCUCAAAGAAAAGACAAUCUAAAAGCUGCCUUCCAGAGACCACCAUAAAAUGGUUUUGGCAAUGUUGUCAAGAUACCUCAUACUGGUAAUGUUGACAACAAAUAAAAAAAACCUAAAAGUUUUCUGUGAAAACGUGAAAGUUUUCUUCAAAACACCGAUAACUCCUAGAUCUGUAGUAUUUUUGAUAUUCAGCAAACAACUCCCCCAAAAUUUUGGAGUGACAUUUGGAUAUGGAUCAAUAGUUUGUUUGUACAGCACCUAGGAAAAGGGUGCACAAUUUGGUUGAGGAUCUAUUGUAACGUUACAUAGUGAUGCACUGUACUAAUUAAUAAA